ACACGGCUGCUGGGGAGAGUUCCGCGAACGCGGACGCCGAAGGGGCAAGUACCCGCAAAUCUCUCAGGCAUCAGGGACCCGCAGCCGUCA
rnacentral:ncRNA from 2 species